UACGUAGGGUCCGAGCGUUGUCCGGAAUUAUUGGGCGUAAAGGGCUCGUAGGCGGUUUGUCACGUCGGGAGUGAAAACUCAGGGCUCAACCCUGAGCGUGCUUCCGAUACGGGCAGACUAGAGGUAUGCAGGGGAGAACGGAAUUCCUGGUGUAGCGGUGGAAUGCGCAGAUAUCAGGAGGAACACCGGUGGCGAAGGCGGUUCUCUGGGCAUUACCUGACGCUGAGGAGCGAAAGCAGGGGGAGCGAACAGG
rnacentral:rRNA from 1 species